CCGCACUGCCCCCCCGGAGCCACCGGGAAAGGAGCCCGGCCCAUCCCCCAAGCUGGCUGCUUGUUUUUCUUCCACCCGCGGCUGGAAGGGAAGGAGGGAGCGCGUGCUCCCGGGACUGACCUAUGCUCUCUAAACUGUUAAAGCCUGAGCUUGAUAGGCGGGGGCCAGAUGGGAGAGACCCACAGGACGAAAGGCUUUUCCACUUCUUGUUCCCUCUGCCUGCAAUAUUCUACAGAUAUUUUGAUGGCUAGCUUCUCAUCAGGUUCAAGCACUGACAUAAAGUUUACCUCUUUGCAUCUUCACCAGGAGUAGAGUCCAGCUCAGGAAACCACUGUCUUUGCUCAUCCGUAAGAAGCAGCCCCACAGCUGUGAAAGUUCGAUCAGGAGAUCGCAGCCAUCCAGUAACAUGUUCAGGCUCCCCUGCAGCUUCUAGUCCUCUCGCUGUUUCCACCACAUCUGCUCUUCCUGCCUCCACUGGAAUCCUGAGCCCUCCAAGUUACCCAUGAGGGCUGGGAUCAACUGCUUCCAGACUCCUGUUCAUGUUGAUACUGUGACCUCUUCCCAUGGAUCAUGAAUGUUCUUAAUGGCAUGUAGAAUGGUAGAUCUUUUCCAGAAGGUUUUCAAUUGACUUUGCCCAGGGCCAUCAGAGGAAUCGGUAUCUUUGGCAGCUAUAGCCUUGCAAAAUAUGUUUCUUGAAUAAGAAGACUUGAAAGUUGAAAUUAUUCCUUGAUCCAUGGGCUGCAGAAUAAAUGUUGUGUUAGCGGCAUAAAAAUGAUAUUAAAUCCAUUGUACAUC